rnacentral:rRNA from 1 species
UACGGAGGGUGCGAGCGUUUAUCCGGAUUCACUGGGUUUAAAGGGUGCGUAGGUGGGCUUGUAAGUCAGUGGUGAAAUCUCCGGGCUUAACCUGGAAACUGCCAUUGAUACUACAGGUCUUGAAUUUUCUGGAGGUAAGCGGAAUAUGUCAUGUAGCGGUGAAAUGCUUAGAUAUGACAUAGAACACCAAUUGCGAAGGCAGCUUGCUACAGGAAUAUUGACACUGAGGCACGAAAGCGUGGGGAUCAAACAGG